rnacentral:rRNA from 1 species
GACGAACGCUGGCGGCGUGCUUAACACAUGCAAGUCGAACGGAAAGGCCCUGCUUUUGUGGGGUGCUCGAGUGGCGAACGGGUGAGUAACACGUGAGUAACCUGCCCUUGAAUUUGGGAUAACUUCAGGAAACUGGGGCUAAUACCGGAUAGGAGCUCCUGCUGCAUGGUGGUGGUUGGAAAGAUUCGGCGGUUGGGGAUGGACUCGCGGCUUAUCAGCUUGUUGGUGGGGUAGUGGCUUACCAAGGCUUUGACGGGUAGCCGGCCUGAGAGGGUGACCGGCCACAAUGGGACUGAGAUACGGCCCAGUCUCCUACGGGAGGCAGCAGUGGGGAAUAUUGCACAAUGGGCGGAAGCCUGAUGCAGCAACGCCGCGUGCGGGAUGACGGCCUUCGGGUUGUAAACCGCUUUCGCCUGUGACGAAGCGUGAGUGACGGUAAUGGGUAAAGAAGCACCGGCUAACUACGUG